AUUAGGAAAAAACUUCAACUUGUCGGAAUAACAGCGUUGCUUCUUGCCUGCAAAUAUGAAGAGGUUUCUGUACCUGUAGUGGAGGAGAAAAAACUUCAACUUGUCGGAAUAACUGCAUUGCUUCUUGCCUGCAAAUAUGAAGAGGUUUCUGUACCUGUAGUGGAGGAUCUAAUUUUAAUUUCUGACAAGGCUUACACCAGAAAUGAAGUGCUUGCCAUGGUCAGUUUAAAGGCCAAAAUCUUAUUAGUAAUGUUUAACAGGAAACAUAUUUCCAUAGCUGUAUGACUCUUAACUGAUUUCUUUUCGACACAGG
rnacentral:lncRNA from 1 species